AUGGUUGAACUUGAAAGGCUUGUCAUGUUUCCUGUUGUUUAUCGCCUCAUUGAGUUGGCAUUGCUACUACCGGUAGCGACGGCAACAGUUGAAAGAGCCUUUUCAUCAAUGAAAAUCAUCAAGACUGAGUUGCGCAAUAAGAUGUCUGAUAGAUGGCAUAAUGACUUGAUGGUGUGUUACAUUGAGCGAGAGAUCUUCAAAAGUAUUGAUCUCGGUAAAAUUAAGGAAGAUUUUCAGAAGGAGGGUAGGCCGCUGCCAUUGCCUGGGUCUUCUAGAUGCCAUAAAUGCUUCAUUAUCGGUAUGUUUUAG
rnacentral:rRNA from 1 species